CCCUAUCAUUUACUUGAUGAUAAAACUACUUAUGGUAGUAUAGAAGUAUAAUUUGUAUUGUGGUGUCUAACAUCGAGAUUUUUACAUUAUAUAGUGAAAACAACUGGGUGUGUGUUAUCACUAUAGUUGGUAAAACUAAAAUAAUAGUCAUAAAUUAUGUCGUGUGAAUAGUAUUAUUAACUAUUACUAAUUUAAAUAAAAUAUAGAAAUAAUUUAUGAGGAAAUCAAAAAGAGAGGGAAAGAGUUGGUGUACGAUUAUUAGUUUGAAGGUUAUAUUACUAAAUUAUUUUUACUAAGCACAUACAGCUCACCCCUUUCCAUUUGUUAGAUUAAGAAAAUGAAGAACAAGCUCAAGACCAACCAGAACAGUGGUGGGAUCCCUUGGCUAUACGGAACUUAUGAUAACAUCUACUAGUGUCAGUUCUAUCUUUUAAACUCUAAAUUUUUUUUUAGCAUUUUGAAGUUGAUGUAUGCCAAGAUUGAGGCUAAUGAUUCUGAAUUACACUAAUGUGUAAGGGAUGAUAUUGUAGACAAUUUAAUUUUUUUUGUAUUUUAUGCUUACUCAAUUUAUCCACAAUAUAUGGUUUGAAAUGCAUGAAUACUCGUGACUCCAUUUAAAGUAUGGGUUAUAACAUUUAGUACUCCUAAAUAGAAAUAUUAUACUAAUUUCAAAAUUUUCUUUUUUGUUUCGUCAAGUAAUAAAGAAAGAAUUUUUAAUAUUUUAGUAAAAAAAUCACACAUUCAAAUAAUUUUUACAAGUUCACUAAUUGAAUUAUAACAAAAAAAAUUGAGAUUCAAUGUCACAUAACCCAUAAUUCAAUGAACUAAAUUCAUAAUAUACCUUUAUAAUAAAAUAGAUUUCUUAACAUAUGAAAAUAUAAAUACAUUAUUGUAGAAUUAAAAAUAUAAGUAAAACCG
rnacentral:lncRNA from 1 species